AGUGAAGGACCAAUUUUUUGAAGAAUUGAACGAGGAGAUUGGCAAGAUUGGAUCCAGGAGGGAGAAAUUGUGUUGGGAGAUCUCAAUGGUAGAAUAGGACGUCAAGUAAAAAGUAAGAUCGUCGGCCCUUUCGGAGAGGCGACAAUAAAUGAUAACGGAGCUCGUAUCAUUGACGUGUGUGAGCAAAGGGAGAUGAAGGUGCUCAAUGGGUUCUACCAACACAAAGAUAUCCAUAAAUAUACUUGGGUCCAGUCCACUCGCGGGUUAAAGUCAAUCAUUGAUUAUGUGGUGGUCAGGCAAAACACGGAGAUGAAGAUUCAGCAAGUUAGGGUGUGGAGAGGUCUUUCCUGCGGCAGUGACCAUUACUUCCUCGGGGCGAAAAUAGCUUUCCCAGUAAAAGGGAGCCAGGAGAACAGGCAAGCACAGGAACAGGUUCACCAACAAAAAGAUCGUGUUAAGCUUGUAAACUAUAAUAUUGACAGCUUGCAGCAUCCAAGUGUGAGGGCAUUGUACGGAAAGCGCUUGGAUGAGAAGUUGGGCGAAUCAAGGCACGGUGAUACCGAACAACAGUAUCAGUUCCUUAAGGAUUGUAUUCACUCGGCAGCAAUGGAGGCUCUUGGUAUUGCUGAUGGUAGAAAAGUUAGCGAAAAACCUUACUGGUGGGAUGAAGAAAUUGAGAAGGAGAUUCAGGAGAAACGGGAAAAGUAUCAUCAGUUCCUUUCCUCUAAAAAAGCACAAGACAAAGAAGCGUAUAGAAAAGCUCAGACGCAGGUGCGAAGGCUCAUCACCAAGAAAAAGAACGAAUCUUGGGAGAGGAGCUGUAACAAAAUAGACACGUACAUAGGAGGAAGGAAAAGUACUGAGAGCUGGAAGUUGCUGAAAGGGCUGCGAAGGGACAUGAAGCGGGACUUAAUAUCUCCGAUAUCCAUUGAUAAACUGGAGGAUUAUUUUAAAAAUUUACUGACAGAAAGGCGACCUGAAUUUCAAGAUGGAGGUGUAAGCUUGGAGUACACUAACGAUAAUAAUAACUUGGAGAUUCACAUGAAGGACGUGGUAAAGGCCGUGCGAGAGCUGAAGAACGAUAAAGCUCCGGGUCCGGGGAAC
rnacentral:lncRNA from 1 species